GUCUAUGGUCAUACCACCCUGAACGCACCUGAUCUCAUUUGAUCUCAGAAGCUAAGCAGGGUCCGGUCUAGUUAGUACUUGCAUGGGAGAAAAAAUUAAGUUACCAGUACU
ensembl:rRNA 5S_rRNA 5S ribosomal RNA